rnacentral:rRNA from 1 species
CCUACGGGAGGCAGCAGUAAGGAAUAUUGGUCAAUGGACGAAAGUCUGAACCAGCCAUGCCGCGUGAAGGAUUAAGGCCCUCUGGGUUGUAAACUUCUUUUAUCUGGGACGAAAAAAGGGUAUUCUUACUCACUUGACGGUACCAGAGGAAUAAGCACCGGCUAACUCCGUGCCAGCAGCCGCGGUAAUACGGAGGGUGCAAGCGUUAUCCGGAUUUACUGGGUUUAAAGGGUGCGUAGGUGGGCUUGUAAGUCAGUGGUGAAAUCUCCGGGCUUAACCCGGAAACUGCCAUUGAUACUAUAGGUCUUGAAUUAUCUGGAGGUAAGCGGAAUAUGUCAUGUAGCGGUGAAAUGCUUAGAUAUGACAUAGAACACCAAUUGCGAAGGCAGCUCACUACGGAUAUAUUGACACUGAGGCACGAAAGCGUGGGGAUCAAACAGGAUUAGAUACCCUGGUAGUCCACGCCCUAAACCGAUGGAUACUCGACAUCAGCGAUACACUGUUGGUGUCUGAGCGAAAGCAUUAAGUAUCCACCUGGGAAGUACGAUCGCAAGAUUGAAACUCAAAGGAAUUGACGGCUGAGAGAGCGAGACGACGACGAGGGAGGAGG